AAGGUCUCCGUUGGUGAACCAGCGGAGGGAUCAUUACCGAGUUUACAACUCCCAAACCCCUGUGAACAUACCAAUUGUUGCCUCGGCGGAUCAGCCCGCUCCCGGUAAAACGGGACGGCCCGCCAGAGGACCCCUAAACUCUGUUUCUAUAUGUAACUUCUGAGUAAAACCAUAAAUAAAUCAAAACUUUCAACAACGGAUCUCUUGGUUCUGGCAUCGAUGAAGAACGCAGCAAAAUGCGAUAAGUAAUGUGAAUUGCAGAAUUCAGUGAAUCAUCGAAUCUUUGAACGCACAUUGCGCCCGCCAGUAUUCUGGCGGGCAUGCCUGUUCGAGCGUCAUUUCAACCCUCAAGCCCAGCUUGGUGUUGGGACUCGCGAGUUAAAUCGCGUUCCCCAAAUUGAUUGGCGGUCACGUCGAGCUUCCAUAGCGUAGUAGUAAAACCCUCGUUACUGGUAAUCGUCGCGGCCACGCCGUUAAACCCCAACUUCUGAAUGUUGACCUCGGAUCAGGUAGGAAUACCCGCUGAACUUAAG
rnacentral:rRNA from 1 species